AGGUGAUCCAACCGCAGGUUCCCCUACGGUUACCUUGUUACGACUUCACCCCAGUCAUGAAUCACAAAGUGGUAAGCGCCCUCCCGAAGGUUAAGCUACCUACUUCUUUUGCAACCCACUCCCAUGGUGUGACGGGCGGUGUGUACAAGGCCCGGGAACGUAUUCACCGUGGCAUUCUGAUCCACGAUUACUAGCGAUUCCGACUUCAUGGAGUCGAGUUGCAGACUCCAAUCCGGACUACGACGCACUUUAUGAGGUCCGCUUGCUCUCGCGAGGUCGCUUCUCUUUGUAUGCGCCAUUGUAGCACGUGUGUAGCCCUGGUCGUAAGGGCCAUGAUGACUUGACGUCAUCCCCACCUUCCUCCAGUUUAUCACUGGCAGUCUCCUUUGAGUUCCCGGCCGGACCGCUGGCAACAAAGGAUAAGGGUUGCGCUCGUUGCGGGACUUAACCCAACAUUUCACAACACGAGCUGACGACAGCCAUGCAGCACCUGUCUCACGGUUCCCGAAGGCACAUUCUCAUCUCUGAAAACUUCCGUGGAUGUCAAGACCAGGUAAGGUUCUUCGCGUUGCAUCGAAUUAAACCACAUGCUCCACCGCUUGUGCGGGCCCCCGUCAAUUCAUUUGAGUUUUAACCUUGCGGCCGUACUCCCCAGGCGGUCGACUUAACGCGUUAGCUCCGGAAGCCACGCCUCAAGGGCACAACCUCCAAGUCGACAUCGUUUACGGCGUGGACUACCAGGGUAUCUAAUCCUGUUUGCUCCCCACGCUUUCGCACCUGAGCGUCAGUCUUCGUCCAGGGGGCCGCCUUCGCCACCGGUAUUCCUCCAGAUCUCUACGCAUUUCACCGCUACACCUGGAAUUCUACCCCCCUCUACGAGACUCAAGCUUGCCAGUAUCAGAUGCAGUUCCCAGGUUGAGCCCGGGGAUUUCACAUCUGACUUAACAAACCGCCUGCGUGCGCUUUACGCCCAGUAAUUCCGAUUAACGCUUGCACCCUCCGUAUUACCGCGGCUGCUGGCACGGAGUUAGCCGGUGCUUCUUCUGCGGGUAACGUCAAUGAGCAAAGGUAUUAACUUUACUCCCUUCCUCCCCGCUGAAAGUACUUUACAACCCGAAGGCCUUCUUCAUACACGCGGCAUGGCUGCAUCAGGCUUGCGCCCAUUGUGCAAUAUUCCCCACUGCUGCCUCCCGUAGGAGUCUGGACCGUGUCUCAGUUCCAGUGUGGCUGGUCAUCCUCUCAGACCAGCUAGGGAUCGUCGCCUUGGUGAGCCGUUACCCCACCAACAAGCUAAUCCCAUCUGGGCACAUCCGAUGGCAAGAGGCCCGAAGGUCCCCCUCUUUGGUCUUGCGACGUUAUGCGGUAUUAGCUACCGUUUCCAGUAGUUAUCCCCCUCCAUCAGGCAGUUUCCCAGACAUUACUCACCCGUCCGCCACUCGUCAGCGAAACAGCAAGCUGUUUCCUGUUACCGUUCGACUUGCAUGUGUUAGGCCUGCCGCCAGCGUUCAAUCUGAGCCAUGAUCAAACUCU
rnacentral:rRNA from 1 species